rnacentral:lncRNA from 1 species
CUUUGACGGCAGAAUUCACCUGAGGGGAAACUUCUGUCGGAAGAACCCCGGACCGGCUUGCUGCGGAGCUCCCUGGCUGUCUCCCAUCCCCCGCGGUGAUCAGACGAGUUCCUGAGAUCAACGGACCUAUUGUGUACCUCGCUGGACCCACGGUGGUGACUAUAUCUCUUUUGCUAUCUGCAAAGACUCCUUGCUUACAUUUCCUACUUUUUUCUAUCGCCUACCUUCCCUUCCCCAUCUCCCUAAAAACGGCUAGGACUUUAAUAAACUGGUUGGACCAACAUUUGAACCGUUGCUUCUUAAUCUCACGCCGGGUAUAUACACAAAAGAACCUUGCCUCCCUCCUGUAAAUUGGAGCGAGACAGCAACCUAAGUAAGAUCUUAUCCCUUUUACAGAAGAAUAUGGGAAAACUAGUCUUGGGUCAUUGAACUGAAAUGUAUUUCAGUUAAAUAGCAUGGUGUACAAAUUCCUUCCAGUGUUUCUUUUCAACCUAUUGGAAGCAUAGGCACAAAAUUUGACCUUUCAUACAUUGACACAGAGUAUUCCCUUCCUCCCAAAGUUUCCCCUAGUUGAUGUCAUCCACACAGUCGGGAUAACAGAUAUAUUUUCUCAGAUAAUGAAUCAUUUCAACCAUACUUCAGCAACACAAGGAAAAAGGACAAAGUGCUGCUUCUGCUCCAGAACAAAAUUCAACCCUUAAACAUCGAUGUCUACUUCCAUUUAGGAUAUAUUUAUUCCAGCUAAAGUUUCAGCAUUGUGCUGAGGAAUGAUGAAAAACAUUGUCUAUGAACAGAGACCAAGAAACUUCCUGAACUUUGCAUCAUUCAGAUCACACUUUUCUGAAUUAAACGGAAUUAGAGAAUCUUCACACGAGAUAACAAGAUACUUCACUGUUUCUCCUCAUCUGACCAUGUGAAGCAAAGCCCAGAGUCUGCUAGACUACGCUUUCAUGCCAAUUCUGUAAAACAGUUUUUAAGCAGUCUUAGAGGAGAGAGGACUUCUUCCCUGGGGAACUCUAAGGAUUUGCACAGAGGUAAACCCAGCCAUGCCUACAUGUGGUACAGCGCUCUGCCACUGCAUUACUUCAAGAAGAGCAGCAAGAACUUCAGAGCCACCCCCAGGAGCCUGAUUCUGCAUCUGCUGGAGAUUUUCCAAAUAGCAGUUUUGCUCUGCAGAGCAAAUGAAUAGUUCAGUAACAUUUCCUCUGUAGCCUAAAGAGCCAGAUAAAGGCAGCAAGGAGAGAUUUAAUUUAUGCUUCAGAAAUUCACAACUGUGUUCCACUAAUGAAGUGGUCUGAUGCUGUGUGCUUUUCUGGCUGAAAAUACAAAGGCUGAUACGCUGUGCUAAUUUUAUUAUCAGGAGUUUAAGGUGUAAUAUACGUAUCCUCUAACUGAUAUUUUCCUAGAGAGCAAAAUGAAUCUUGUGAAGUGGCACAAUCCGGACAGUCUUUCACUGGAGGUGGAUAAAGGAAAAGUGAAAGUGGUGGUAUCACUGUUCAUGAAAGAUACAUUCCUCAUUUCCUAUUUUCAUAAGUACAAGGGCUACUGAAAGCAGUGCCUCCUAUUUUGUUAUGUUCACUUGUGACAUCAGAGGUGGAUCAUGGUGGUAUGGCAGUAGGGGUUGUGCCUUCUUGCCAGUAUCCCAUUGC